UACGGAGGAUGCGAGCGUUAUCCGGAUUUAUUGGGUUUAAAGGGUGCGUAGGCGGGCUGUUAAGUCAGCGGUAAAAGCCCGGGGCUCAACCCCGGCGAGCCGUUGAAACUGGCUGUCUUGAGAUGUCGAGAGGUAUGCGGAAUGCGCAGUGUAGCGGUGAAGUGCUUAGAUAUUGCGCAGAACUCCGAUUGCGAAGGCAGCAUACCGGCGGCGAACUGACGCUGAGGCACGAAAGCGUGGGUAUCGAACAGG
rnacentral:rRNA from 1 species